rnacentral:lncRNA from 1 species
GCCUGUAGUCCCAGCUACUGCGGAGGCUGAGGAGGAGAAUGGCGUGAACCCAGGAGGCUGAGCUUGCAGUGAGCCGAGAUUGAGCCACUGCACUCCAGCCUGGGCGACACAGCGAGACUCCGUCUCAAAAAAAAAAAAAAAAGAACUUAAAAUUGAUCUCAUUUAUCUGCCCAACAACUUUGUACUCAUAUUAUUUUAUUCUAUUUUAUUUUAUCACUAUUAUUAUUAUAUUUUUGUAGAGACAGGGUCUCACUAUAUUGACCAGGAUGAUUUCGAACUCCCGGCCUCAAGCAAUCCUCCCACUUUGGCCUCUCAAAAUGCUGGAAUUACAGGCAUGAGCCACUGUGCCCAGCCUCCUGUACCCAUUUUAGGGACACGUAAGCUAAGGCUCGAAUCUUUACAGAGGCUGUCUGAGGUCACAGGACUCAGAAGUAGCAAGAAUGGGCUUGGCAUGGUGGCUCACGCCUAUAAUCCCAAUACUUUGAGAGACAGAGGUGGGAAGAUCACUUGAGUCCAGGAGUUCAAGACCAGCCUGGACAACAUACCAAGACUGUCUCUACCAAAAGAAAAACAAUCAGCUGGGUGCAGUGGCACGUGUCCGUAGUCCCAGCUACUCAGGAGGCCAAGGCAAGAGAAUUGUUUGAGCCCAGGAGUUUGAGGUUACAGUGAACUGUGACUGCACCACUGCACUCCCGCCUGGGCAAUAGAGCGAGACUCUGUCUCUAAAAAUAAAAAUAGCAAAGAAGUAACAAGAGGUGGGAUCUAACACCGGUUCUGUCUUUCCAUUGGAAACCCAGAGCUCUUUCCAUGACCCCUGCCCAGGGUGAAUAUUGUUUGUCUGAAGGAAUCCAGGAGCCUUGUGGAUUGGAGCUUAUGCUGUGCCAUUGUCUUUGGAUGGAUUGAAGGGUUUGACAUGCCAGGGCUGGGACAUGAUGACAGUCUUAUUCUGCCUGCCUCAGGCUUCAGGAAACAACUGCUGUUAGAGCCAUGUGGGAGCGUUUCUUGGGGGUGUUUCUUUGGAGCGUUUCUUCUAGACCAGGAAGGUGACAACCUUCACAGUGGGAUGCAUGGACUGGUGGUGGAGUUUCCAGCUUCAGAGCUCACCAAGAAAGAGCAUGAAGCUGAUGGUUUGGGUCCUGGAGACAGGGACAAAAGGAACAGAGCCUUCCCCCAGCACCCCUUUCCACUGGAGGUUCCUCAGAGGCAAUAAAGCUUGAUGGUUAGAACAUGGCACCUGGCAUCUGAACUCAAACCAGCCCGAACACUCACCUCUCUGAGCCUCAGAAUCCUGGUCUGUAAAAUGCGCACACUACUAGUACUUACUUCUCAAAGUUGGACUUGGUAAUGUCUGUCAAGCACCUAACAUAUAACAGGGCAAGGAAGAAAAGCUCAAGCAAUGGUAGCCAUCACCAGGCGUGGUGGCUCACACCUGUAACCCCAGCACUUUGGGAGGCUGAAGCGGGUGGAUCACCUGAGGUCAGGAGUUCGAGACCAGCCUGGCCAACAUGGUGAAACCCCGUCUCUACUAAAAAUACAAAAAUUAGCCGGGCAUGAUGGCAGGCGCCUAUAAUCAGCUACUUGGGAGGCUGAGGUAGGAGAAUCACUUGAACCCGGGAGGCAGAGGUUACAGUGAGCCAAGAUUGCACCACUGCACUCCAGCCUGGGUGACAAGAGCAAAACUCCGUCUCAAAAAAAAAAAAAAAAAAAGGUAGCCAAGCCAUCAUCAUCAUCAUCUCCCUAUUAUUAUUAAUCUCUGUUGCAUUUCUAUUAACUGUGUGUCUUGGGAGAAUGGAAAUUCCCCAAGUAGGCGUCCUGCUCAACAGUUAAUGAUGGUAAAACAGUCUCACUUGCCUAACCACUUCGCCUAAGUGUUACUUGACUGACAGGGUGGGUUAUUUUGGGGAGAAAAAAAAUCAGUCAAGCUCUCGAGUGCACCGUCCCUGAAAGGUUUCUAUGACAACACAUACCUGGAUGUUCCAGUGGGAGGGUCACCUGGGGAAGAGUUCAGAGCUAAAAUCAAGAGGGGGCCCCACCCAGGUGGGGGCCCCACCUGGAGGCUGGGGGAGGUCCUCCCACUCCUCCUAUUUUUCUGCCUGUGUUUUCCCAGCCCUGACUCUGUAUCCCUUUUAAACCUCUUCACAGCCCUGUGGGGUAAGUACUAUUAUUCUUACAUCCAUUUUACAGAUGAAGCAACUGAGGCUUGGAGAAAUUAAAGCUUGCCCAAGGUCAGUCUGCUGAUCACAUCUUGGAUCAUCUUAGACCUUUCUGGGUUUCAUUUGUCAGACUAGAGGAGUUACACUAGAGUGAGGUUUCUCAGUCUCAGCACUGCCAACGUGUUGGGCUCAGUAAUCCCAUGUCAUAGGAGACUGUCCUAUGCAUUGUAGAGCAUUCAGCAGUCCCCUCGGCCUCUACCCACCGGAUGCCAGGAGCACCUCCCUGUCUCCCACCCCCGACCACAGUCAUGACAACCAAAACUGUCUCCAGCUGUGGCUAGAUGGCCCCAGUUAAUAACCACUGGGCUAGGCAAUGAUCUUUCCUCUUUCCUUACACUUGUGCAUUCUAAGUUUUUUAAUUUUUUUUUUUUUUUUAGAUGGAGUCUCGCUCUGUUUCCCAGGCUGAAGUGCAAUGGCGUGAUGUCGGCUCACUGCAUCCUCCGGCUCCUGGACUCAAGCGAUUCUCCUGCCUCAGGCUCCCAAGUAAGUGGAACCACAGACAUUUUCUAUUUCUUUGCAAGCAUUUUCUAUUUCUUUGCAAGUUCACCUGUCUGUUCACCUGUGACACCAUGCCCAGCUAAUUUUUGUAUUUUUAGUAGAGACAGGGUUUCACCAUGUUGGCCAGGCUGGUCUCGAACUCCUGACCUCAGGUGAUCCACCUGCCCCAGCCUCCCAAAGUGUUGGGAUUACAGUGUGAGCCACCACGCCCAGCCUACAUUUUAUUUAUGUAUUUUUUUUUUGAGAUGGGGUCUUGCUCUGCCACCCAGCCUGGAGUGCAGUGAUGCUAUCACGGCUCACUACAGCCUCAGCCUCUCAGGCUCAAGCAGUGCUCCCACCUUGGCCUCCUGAGUAGCUAGGACCUAGGCACAUACCACCACACCAGGCUAAUUUAUUUAUUUUUUGUAUUUUUGUAAAGAUGGGGUCUCCUUAUGUUGCCUGGGCUGGUAUCAAACUCCUGGGCUCAAGUGAUCUUCCCACCUCAGCCUUCCAAAGUGCUGGGAUGACAGGCAUGAGCCACCACGUCUAGCCCACUCUAAAGCUCUUUCCCAGGACCCAUCUCAAGUGAUCCAUGUGUGUUCAUGUGACAUUGAGGUCUUUCAUGCAAAGAUCCUUAUCCAGGGCCCUAGAGCAGCCCGCACCUGAGCCAGGUGCUCAGGAAAUCAGAAUGAAAAUCAUCUCACCUGCUUGGUUGUCUGGCACGUCUCACUGUAUCACCCUGCUUUAAAGGCACAGAAACUGAGGGUCCCUGGGGAGGAGGGACUCACUAGGGAUCCCACAGUCUGUGAGCGAGAAAGCUGGGUGGGAGCCCUGAUGGGCCUGACUCUAGGGCAGGAGUUUCCACGGUAUCCUCUAAGGAGUUUGAGACCAGCCUGGGCAACAUGGUGAAACCCCGUAUCUACUAAAAAUACAAAAAAAGUAAUAAUAAUAAACAGGCAUAGUGGUGCACAUCUGUAGACCUAGCUGCUCAAGAGUCUGAAGUGGGAGAAUCACUUGAGUUAAGGAGAUCGAGGCUGCAGUGAGCCAAGACCGCACUGCAGCCUGGGUGAUGAGAGUGAGACGCUCUCUCAAAACAAAAUAAAACAAAAAUAGCUGAGGCUGAGAGAGACAAAUGCCUGAGAAGGAACGGUGGGUCUGACCUUGAACCCUGGUGACUCCAAGUCAGGAGCUGCCUCUGGGACCCAGCAUACAGCCUGGCACCUUCCAGGCAAAGCCCCUCCCUCUGCUGCCUCUGAAUUCAGCAGGAGACUGAGCGUUUGCAUACACUUCGUGUCUGAAAACUUCCAGGAUUCCCAAGAUUCAUUUCACAAAGACUUUUCUCGUAGGACAGGUAUUUGAAACAUCUGGUUAACAAGUACCCAGCUUGAAGAAAGCCUGGAUCUUCACAGCACGCUCAGUUUGUAGAAGAGAAAAACCCUACUCUGGGCUCUAAUUUGCUUCAGCUCCAUUAAACACAUCCUGAGCCCUGCUGUGUGCCAGACGCUGUGCUGAAUACCUGGCACCAGAAGACCAAUCGGGCCCAGGGCUUCUCCCCAAGGAGCUUCCUGGCCAGGCGGAGACACCCCUGGAAUAGACCAUUUAGGAGCCUGAGGCCUGCAUGUAGCAUUUAGUCAGCAGUUAAGUGUGGAAGUAUAAGUGAGUAAAUGGAUGAAUACCUGAGGGUGCGAAUGAGCUACAGAAUUAAUGACUGAAUGAAUUAAUGAAGUUGACAAAUGCUAUUACAGAAGUGAGCACAGACUAUGAUAGCCCAGCAGAGAGGCAUUUAGAACCUUAGCUGUGGCCACAGGUGAUGGUGCAGGAGGAAAAGCCAAUAUCUGUGCAGCAUUUUCCAUUUCUUUGCAAGUUCACCUGCCUCUAUCAUCUGAGACUCACCCUGAGGGUGUUCUUUGGUUGCCUGAGAGUCUGCUCAACCUGAAAGGGACAGGUGGCCAGAAGUGCUGGGGAGUUGACAUCCUGAGCAAGCAGUUCUUGGCCAAUGACGGGGAGUAGUUGGUGUAUAAAUACCCCAGCUUCCUUGCUCCACGGUGGGAUAAUCCUAAAGUGACUGUUCUGUGCCGGCUCCCAGUGUUCCCCAAUGGAACGGAGCUGCAGUCACCCACAGUGAUUAUUUGCUAGAUAACCCACACCUUAUUAUCGACCCACCAAUAUCUCCUGGAAUCAUCCUGAGAUCACCUCCCAAAUAAAGCACUCAAAUCUUUGUCUCAGAAUCUAUUUCUAGGAGAACCCAAACUACAAGAGUGAUGAUUAUGAAAACAUUUAUGGUCAUAGCUAAUAUUUGCUGAGUGCUUACUACAUGCCAGCCACUGCCUGCUACGUGCUCUAAGGCACUUCUCCCACUUAACACUCAUGAAAUCUCUGAGAUGCAGACAUUAUGAUCAUCAUCCCAUUUUACAGAUGGGACUGAGGCUCAGAAGUGAAGUCAUCUAUGUAAAGUCAUGUAAUUCUUUAUCGUCACAGCCAGAAUAUGAGCCCAACUCUCUUUAACUCCAGAGUUUGAGGAUAUAACCAUUCUGCCAUGCUGUCUCCUGAUUUUCUUUUCUUUCUUUCUUUCUUUCUUUUUUUUUUUUUUUCUUUGAGAUGGAGUUUUGUUCUUGUUGCCCAGGCUGUAGUGCAAUGGUACCAUCUCGGCUCACUGCAACCUCCGCCUCUCGUAUUCAAAUGAUUCUCCUGCCUCAGCCUCCCUAGUAGCUAGGAUUACAGGCACCUGCCACCAUGCCCAGCUAAUUUUUUUGUUUUUUGUAUUUUUAGUAGAGACAGGGUUUCACUAUGUUAGCCAGGCUGGUCUCGAACUCCUGACCUCAGUUGAUCUACCCACCUCAGCCCCCAAAAGUGCUGGGAUUACAGGCCUGAGCCACCGCGCCCGGCUCUGUCUCCUGAUUUUCAUCUUCCAUUGUCUGUAGGGAGGAGAGAUGAGGACGAGAGGGAGAAAGGAUGCCUGGGCUUGCUUUCUCAGUGGGGAAGAGUUCAAUCUCAGUUCAGGUUUUCUUUUAACAAAAUUUUUAUGUUAAUAAAAUUAAUAAAGUUGUUUUAUUUAUUUAUUUUAAAUUUUUAUUUUCUUUAUUAUUUUGUUAUUUUAUUUUAAGUUCUGGGAUACAUGUGCAGAAUGUGCAGGUUUGUUACAUAGGUAUACAUGUGCCAUAGUGGUUUGCUGCACCUAUCAACUCGUCAUCUAAGUCUUAAGCCCCGCGUGCAUUAGGUAUUUGUCCUAAUGAUCUCCCUCCCCUUGCCCCCCAAUCCCCUGACAAGCCCCUGUGUGUGAUGUUCCCCUCCCUGUGUCCAUGUGUUCUCACAGCUCAACUCCCACUUAUGAGUGAGAACACGUGGUGUUUGGCUUUGUGUUCCUGUGUUAGUUUGCUGGGAAUGAUGGCUUCUAGCUUCAUCCAUGUCCCUGAAAAGGACAUGAUCUCAUUCUUUUUUAUGGCUGCAUAGUAUUCCAUGGUGUAUAUGUGCCACAUUUUUGGGGUUUUCUCCUCCUCUGUAAAGUUUCAGCACAGAGUUCCUGGACAGCGCCUCAGGGCCAAGAGCUCCCCAAGAGCUCCCCAAGAGCUCUCCAAGAUGUCCUUCCUCAGCAUCCUGCUGUCCUUUUCAUGCAGUGAAAUUGAUACGUAUUCCUAGAACUCCUACUGCAUGCCAAGCACUGUCAGAAGUCAAGUCAUCAAAGAACUCAGAAAAGAAGUACAUGUUUAGCUAUUUUUUCCAUCAGUCUCGAUGAGGGAGCUACACUCCAACUGAUCCCUGGAGAUACCACAGCCAUGUAUUGUCAAGAAGAAUUGGGGUAAAUAGGCAGGGUAUCUCUAGCCACAGGAGGAAGGGACCCAGGAUGUACUAAGCUCCUUCUAUAUUCUUGGAACUACAUACACAUUAACUCAGGCAGGGUUUCUCAAGCUCGGCACCACUGACAUGUUGAGCAUGAGAAUUGUCUGUUGUUCACUUUCUGCCUUUAGGAAGUCCUGCAGAGCAUGGGGGUGGCAGUAUGACCCAGCUCCCCUGUCAUUUCACUACAUCUUGAGCCAGAAGGGGGACUGCACUGCCGUGCAUCCUUUGGGCUGGCAAUGCUGGCGGUCCCAGUCAUCACAAUGGCAGCAGAACAAAGCCCUGACAUGUGUGUGACGUGUCAGAUGCAGCAGCUGCCUGUUGGGCCUGGCUCACUUUCUCAUGCUUUCCCCAUAUUACCUGAGAUGUUCAGAGGAGGAAAGCUGGAGGCAGCCCUUGGGUCUUCUAGGAGCCUAGCACGAGGGCCAAAAUGCAUGAGAACAAGCACAAGAUAAUCCCAUAGAAGCCUUCCUCUUAGCAUUCAGGCCUCAGAUUAAAUGUCACAGCCUUGUGGACAACUCCCUGAGCAUCAUGGCUGGUGUACCCACCCUGAUCCCAGGAACAUCAUCUUAUUUUGCAUUUCCCUAAAGCACUUAUUAUCAGAAAUUAGCUUCUUAGGCUGGGCACAGUAGAUCAUACCUGCAUUCCCAGCACUUUGGGAGGCCAAGGUGGGAAGAUCACUUGAGACCAGGAUUUCGAGACCAGCCUGGCCAAUAUGGCAAAACCCCAUUUCUACUUAACAUACAAAAACUAGCUGGGUAUGGUGGUACACGUCUGUAAUCCCAGCUUCUCGGGAGGCUGAGACACAAGAAUCGCUUGAACCGGGGAGGCAGAGGUUGCAGUGAGCCAAGAUAGCGCCACUGCACUCCAGCCUGGGUGACAGAGCAAGACUCCGUCUCAAAAAGAAAGAAAAAAAAGAACGAAUGAAAGAGAGAGAGAGAAAAAAAGAAAGAGAGAAAAAAAUGAGAGAGAGAGAAAGAAAAGAAAGAAAGACAGAAAGAAAAAAAGAAAAGAGAAGAGAAAGGAAAAGAAAAAAAAAAAAAAAAGAAAAGAGCUUUCUUAGUUACACAUUCAUCUUCUUAUACACUGUCUCCCAGCUGCAGAAUGGAAGUUCCAUGGGGUCAGGACCACAAUCCCCAAUGCCUGGCACGCAGUAGGUGCUAAAUGUGUAUUUGUUGACUGAACAAAUUGAUGGAAAAAUUACUAAAUGAAUGAAUGAGCUCUGGCCCACCUCUCACAAUCAAGCAGAUAGUUUGGUGAAACUAGUACAACUAUGUACAGGGCUAAUGCACAGUGCCCAGCAGGGACCAGGAGCAAACUUCCCUUACUUACCCAACCAAUGACCUACUGUGGUACAUACUUUUUUCCUUAUUAUGGUAAAAUACACAUUGCACAAAAUUCACCAAUUUUUACCAUUUUAGAGUGUACAAUUCAAUGGCAUUAAGUACAAUCAAAAUGCUUUUUUGUUGCUGUUGUUUUUGAGAUGGAGUCUUGCUCUGUCACCCAGGCUAGGUGGAGUGCAAUGGCACAACCUUGGCUCACUGCAACCUCUGCCUCCCAGGUUCAGGCAAUCCUCCCACCUCUGCCUCUUAAGUAGCUGAGACCACAGCCACACACCACCACACCUGGUUAAUUUUUGUAUUUUUUCUAACAGUGGGGUUUUGCCAGGUUUCCCAGACUGGUCUCAAAUUCCUGGGCUCAAGUGAUCCGGCAGCCUUGGAGCUCCCAAAGUGCUAGGAUUACAGGUGUGAGCCAUUGCACCUGUUCCCCCUUCCCAUGUUUUCUUCUAAGAAUUUUAUAGUGUUAGGUCUUAUAUUUAUUUAGGUCUUUGAUCCAAUGUUGAGUUAGUUUUUUUAUAUGGUGUGAGGUAAGCGUCUAUCUUCUUUCUUUUACAUGUGAAAACGUGGUAGAUACUUUAUUCAAUUUACAGAUUAGAACAUAGAGACUGAGAGGGAGUAAAUGACAUGUCCAGAGUCACAUAGCCAUUGGGAGUUGGAACUAGAAUUCAAUAUUAGGUCUGACUCCCAAGUUGAUCCCCUUUCCACCACAUCAAAAUGCCCUUUAUUAUUUUGUAUAGAUGAUAUCUCUUUAUUAUUUUGUGACCAGGGAUGUGGAAAUCACAGGCCUAGUCAAU